rnacentral:rRNA from 1 species
UACGAAGGGUGCAAGCGUUACUCGGAAUUACUGGGCGUAAAGCGUGCGUAGGCGGUUUGUUAAGUCUGUCGUGAAAGCCCCGGGCUCAACCUGGGAAUGGCGAUGGAUACUGGCGAGCUAGAGUACGGUAGAGGAGAGUGGAAUUCCCGGUGUAGCAGUGAAAUGCGUAGAUAUCGGGAGGAACACCAGUGGCGAAGGCGGCUUUCUGGCCUGUUCUUGACGCUGAGGCGCGAAAGCCAGGGGAGCAAACGGG